AAAAGAACUUAGAGGUGAGAGUUCAACAGGGCGUAAAACCGCUUAGAAGUAAACGGAUGGUGCUGACAUUAUCCUGUGGGAUUCAGCUGUCGUGACGGCCACUUUGUGGAAGUGUGAUCGCAAGACACCUUUCGCACGAUUCUUGGUCUAGCGGCGGUGCAUUUCCUGCAGGAUGCACUGUGACCGUUGGCUUCGCUGGCAAAUGGCCGGUCGGUAGAAGACUGUAGGCUUUCGGGCUUGCAGUGACUUACCUUCCGUGUCCUGUCCUAGUUGGGGUCAACGGAUAACCUGCGUGCCGGCUUCUGCUCAUCUGGCGGCGUUAGUUGGCAGCAUGAAUGGCUGAGCCGUGCUUGCACGGAACGGCAACCCGCAGUCAGCUUUGCGUCGUCGCUUGAGUGGGCACUUAAGGUCUACGGUGUCCGCGUCAGUCUCCCAUCCGACCCGUCUUGAAACACGGACCAAGGAGUCUAACAUGUGCGCAAGUCAUGGGGUGGAAAACCCAAAGGCGUAAUGAAAGUAAAGGUCGCUUUAGCGGCUGAGGUGUGAUGUCUGGCUUCGGCCGGACCGCAACACCGUCCCAUCGCAUCGGCUUGUCCGAGCGGUGGAGAAAGAGCGCACACGUUGGGACCCGAAAGAUGGUGAACUAUGCCUGAGCAGGAUGAAGCCAGAGGAAACUCUGGUGGAGGUCCGUAGCGGUUCUGACGUGCAAAUCGAUCGUCAGACU
rnacentral:rRNA from 1 species